rnacentral:lncRNA from 1 species
UUUUCUUGGUCUUCUUCUCUUCACUUAGCUUGUAUCUCUAGCUAGCUAUCUGGUUUUAUAAUAUACUCUCUCUUCUGAGUAUUCAUGGUGCAUUUUUUCGUCUUUGUCGUUGUUUGAACAUUGGCCAUUCUUACAAACAAUCAAGAGUUAGUUUUUCUUUUCUCAAAUACAAAUUAUUUAACUAAGUUUUUCUUGUUGAUAUUGGAAACUAUGCAGCAGAGAUGUUUUCACAUUACUAAUUUGCAGCUUUAUUAUCUCUUUUUAUGCAGAAAGUUAUAAUGAUCUAUUCUCUCUCGCUCCAAUUGGUUGCAUUUGCUUGUGUAUGUAAGCAAAUUGGAUAGAAGAAAUUACCAGCGCUAUUAAAACUGGCUAAAGAAAUUGCCAUGGUGGAUGACCAGACGGCAACUGAUACAAAUCAACACAAUUAUUGAUCGCCCUUCUCCCACUUUAUACAGGCAUCAUCUUUUUGUCCGAUUUGUUUCUUGAAAAUUUUGUACAAAUGUCAUUGGGAACUUUGUAUAAUACUUUGUGAUGGUGCAAUUUGAAACUAUUCAUUCAUUUUCUUCACUUGCAAACUUAAAAAAAAAAAAACUAUGUGAGUACAGUCUUCAUUUUCUUUGCCACUGCCAUUUGAUGUUUCUGGGAUUGUUUUAUAUCCACUACCAUGGUUUCACCAACACCUCUUCUUUCCAUUUGCAAGGGAAAUGGUGUGUGAUGGAAGCUUACGCAUAAGUCCCAUACUGCAGUUUGUCGAUUAUAGACUCCAGUCUUCAAGUUAGCUCUGUAGGUCUGUUUAAAAACUCCCAUUGGGAGUGAAGUUGUAAUCAUAUUUCAGAACUUAGAGAUUAUUUUGAAGAAUCAAUCAAGAUUCUGAUAAAAAUUCAAUCAUCAAAUUCAUUUCAUUUUUUUACAGUACUCAAUUUUUGUUUGUUUGUCUUUCCCUUAAAAUGUUUGCUAAUUUAAAUUGUAGGAAACCAUAAUGUACUACACAACUGUAAUGAAGAAAAGAAUAAGGGGAUAUGUCAUCCAUUGUUCCAGAUCAUAUUUUGAAGAUAUACUUUCAAGAUUCACCAAUGUACUACAAUGUCAAUGCAUCUGCAAAGCAUCACUCAAUUUUAAUCUGGCCCCCUCUUCUUCAAUUCAUCAGCUUGGAUGAAUCCAUGUACGACUUGCUAUCAAUAUAUAUCUAACACAUAGGCUACUCCAAUUUCUUUUACUGGUAUUUAAGUACUCGUGAUAGACUAGUAUGUGUAUUCAAAUCUGUCAGGUAACUAUAGCAAUGUUGAAUCCUUCAUCGUGUGAAUAAGAAAACACAAGCCUUGUUCUUUUACUUCAAUCUUAUCAUCAUUAUCUUCUAUAUACCCACUUCUGUAUAUCCACUUCUUAUAACCUUCUUCUCUC